rnacentral:rRNA from 1 species
UACGUAGGGUGCGAGCGUUGUCCGGAAUUAUUGGGCGUAAAGAGCUUGUAGGCGGUUUGUCGCGUCUGCCGUGAAAAUCCGAGGCUCAACCUCGGACUUGCGGUGGGUACGGGCAGACUAGAGUGUGGUAGGGGAGACUGGAAUUCCUGGUGUAGCGGUGAAAUGCGCAGAUAUCAGGAGGAACACCAAUGGCGAAGGCAGAUCUCUGGGCCGUAACUGACGCUGAGGAGCGAAAGCAUGGGGAGCGAACAGG